rnacentral:lncRNA from 1 species
AGUUCAUGAUCCGAUCGGAUGGUUGAUCAACGAUUAAGAAUCAUUCUAGGGUUAAAUGAUCAAUACGAUUGACAUUUAACCUAGUGCAAGUGUUGCAGGAGAAUCGAUUGGCAAUUCGAUUGCUAAUUUACUUAAUUUGAUUAAGUCAAUGGGUUGAGAUUAAGUUUAAUUGAAUAUAAUUUAAUUAGAUUUAGUUUGGACUUG